UCAGAGGGUAAACCUUCACAAAAGGAAGGUAGCAUGUGUACCUCUUCCUCAGAAGACACCUAUAACGACCUCCAUCGGCCUCAGCCAAAGUCUAAGGCAACACAUGACCAGAAGAUAAUCCUAAGGACCUCAUCCCGGAUAAAAUCUUCAACUCCAUCUCCAUUUGAACCCCAGAAAAUGCCUCAACAUUUCCUUUUCUCCAUUUGAACCCCGAAAAUUGCGCUGAUCGCAAAACGUCC
rnacentral:lncRNA from 1 species